rnacentral:rRNA from 1 species
AUUGAACGCUGGCGGCAGGCUUAACACAUGCAAGUCGAACGAGUGGCGGACGGGUGAGUAAUGCUUGGGAAUCUAGCUUAUGGAGGGGGAUAACUACUGGAAACGGUAGCUAAUACCGCAUACCAUAGGAUGAGCCCAAGUGGGAUUAGGUAGUUGGUGAGGUAAAGGCUCACCAAGCCGACGAUCUCUAGCUGGUCUGAGAGGAUGAUCAGCCACACUGGGACUGAGACACGGCCCAGACUCCUACGGGAGGCAGCAGUGGGGAAUAUUGCACAAUGGGCGCAAGCCUGAUGCAGCCAUGCCGCGUGUAUGAAGAAGGCCUUCGGGUUGUAAAGUACUUUCAGUCGGGAGGCGUUACCGACAGAAGAAGCACCGGCUAACUCCGUGCCAGCAGCCGCGGUAAUUC